rnacentral:rRNA from 1 species
AUGAACGCUAGCUACAGGCUUAACACAUGCAAGUCGAGGGGCAGCAUUUUAGUUUGCUUGCAAACUGAAGAUGGCGACCGGCGCACGGGUGAGUAACACGUAUCCAACCUGCCGAUAACUCCGGAAUAGCCUUUCGAAAGAAAGAUUAAUACCGGAUGGCAUACGAAUAUCGCAUGAUAUUUUUAUUAAAGAAUUUCGGUUAUCGAUGGGGAUGCGUUCCAUUAGUUUGUUGGCGGGGUAACGGCCCACCAAGACAACGAUGGAUAGGGGUUCUGAGAGGAAGGUCCCCCACAUUGGAACUGAGACACGGUCCAAACUCCUACGGGAGGCAGCAGUGAGGAAUAUUGGUCAAUGGGCGAGAGCCUGAACCAGCCAAGUAGCGUGAAGGAUGAAGGCUCUAUGGGUCGUAAACUUCUUUUAUAUGGGAAUAAAGUAUUCCACGUGUGGAAUUUUGUAUGUACCAUAUGAAUAAGGAUCGGCUAACUCCGUGCCAGCAGCCGCGGUAAUACGGAGGAUCCGAGCGUUAUCCGGAUUUAUUGGGUUUAAAGGGAGCGUAGGUGGAUUGUUAAGUCAGUUGUGAAAGUUUGCGGCUCAACCGUAAAAUUGCAGUUGAAACUGGCAGUCUUGAGUACAGUAGAGGUGGGCGGAAUUCGUGGUGUAGCGGUGAAAUGCUUAGAUAUCACGAAGAACUCCGAUUGCGAAGGCAGCUCACUAGACUGUCACUGACACUGAUGCUCGAAAGUGUGGGUAUCAAACAGGAUUAGAUACCCUGGUAGUCCACACAGUAAACGAUGAAUACUCGCUGUUUGCGAUAUACAGUAAGCGGCCAAGCGAAAGCAUUAAGUAUUCCACCUGGGGAGUACGCCGGCAACGGUGAAACUCAAAGGAAUUGACGGGGGCCCGCACAAGCAGUGGAGGAUGUGGUUUAAUUCGAAGCAACGCGAAGAACCUUACCAGGCCUUGACAUCCCGAUGACCGGCUUAGAGAUAAGCCUUCUCUUCGGAGCAUCGGUGACAGGUGGUGCAUGGUUGUCGUCAGCUCGUGCCGUGAGGUGUCGGCUUAAGUGCCAUAACGAGCGCAACCCUUAUCUUUAGUUACUAACAGGUCAUGCUGAGGACUCUAGAGAGACUGCCGUCGUAAGAUGUGAGGAAGGUGGGGAUGACGUCAAAUCAGCACGGCCCUUACGUCCGGGGCUACACACGUGUUACAAUGGGGGGUACAGAAGGCGGCUACCUGGUGACAGGAUGCUAAUCCCAAAAACCUCUCUCAGUUCGGAUCGAAGUCUGCAACCCGACUUCGUGAAGCUGGAUUCGCUAGUAAUCGCGCAUCAGCCAUGGCGCGGUGAAUACGUUCCCGGGCCUUGUACACACCGCCCGUCAAGCCAUGAAAGCCGGGGGUACCUGAAGUACGUAACCGCAAGGAGCGUCCUAGGGUAAAACUGGUAAUUGGGGCU